rnacentral:rRNA from 1 species
GCCAGACUCCUACGGGAGGCAGCAGUGAGGCCUCUUGGUCAAUGGGCGCGCGCCUGAACCCGCCAAGUAGCGUGCAGGCUGACUGCCCUACGGGUUGGAAACUUCUUUUAUAAAGGAAUAAAGUGAGGCCCGUGUGCCUUUUUGUAUGUACUUUAUGAAUAAGGAUCGGCUAACUCCGUGCCAGCAGCCGCGGUAAUACGGAGGAUCCGAGCGUUCGCCGGAUUUAGGGGGGUUAAAGGGAGCGUAGAUGGGUUGGGAAUGCAGUUGUGAAAGUGUGCGGCGCAACCGGAAAGGGGCAAGGGAGACGGGCAGCCUGGAGGACAGUUGAGGGAGGCGGAAGGCGUGGGGGAGCGGUGAAAGGCGGAGAUAUCACGAAGAACUCCGAGGGCGAAGGCAGCCUACGAAACGGCCACUGACAGUGAGGCGCGAAAGCGGGGGUAUCAAACAGGAGUAGAGACCCCGGUA